UCUCUUUGUCUUUGUACAAAUGCAACUUUUUUUUUUUUUGAAAGGUGCACGAAUGCGACUUUUAACUUAAUAAUUGGUAAGAUCGUAUUUCACUUUUUCAUGUGGUGGAGCAGACUAAACACCAGCCAUUGGAAUCAAAUCUCCAAGUGGUUUUGGUGGUUUGAGUCUCCAUUAUUCAGAAACACUGCAACAAUUUAAUAAGGUAGCUAAUUAACACCACCCCUGCAGCCCUGCAGCCAGGCGGAGGGAGGGGGCUAGUAGGGGCACCUGCCGCCCUAAAAUUUUAAAAAUUUAUAAAUUUUUUCUUAUUUUGUUUUAAAUAUUUUUAAUUUUUCUUUUAAUUUUCUAAAAUUUUUAUAAUUUUAUUCUCUCAAAUAUUAAAUUUCUUAUUUUUAUCUUCUCAAAUUUGAAAUCCUCACUCCGUCCGUGCCUGCAGUUAUAUGCCAAUCUCCACAGGUUGUAGAAAUUCAAAGAAAUUUAAUGUGCGACUAGUGCUUAUGCUGAAAGGGGCUGGUAAGGGAACGAUCUCAACAAAAACGACGAGGAGUUUAUCAAAAAAAAUGCCAGGAACUCUAUGAGUUUGUAAGGGUUAAAAAGGGGAGAAAGAGGCCGUACCUGU
rnacentral:lncRNA from 1 species